AACGAACGCUGGCGGCAUGCCUAACACAUGCAAGUCGAACGAGACCUUCGGGUCUAGUGGCGCACGGGUGCGUAACGCGUGGGAACCUGCCCUUAGGUUCGGAAUAACUCCCCGAAAGGGGUGCUAAUACCGGAUAAUGUCUUCGGACCAAAGAUUUAUCGCCUUUGGAUGGGCCCGCGUUGGAUUAGCUAGUUGGUAGGGUAAAAGCCUACCAAGGCGACGAUCCAUAGCUGGUCUGAGAGGAUGAUCAGCCACACUGGGACUGAGACACGGCCCAGACUCCUACGGGAGGCAGCAGUGGGGAAUAGUGGACAAUGGGCGAAAGCCUGAUCCAGCAAUGACGCGUGAGUGAUGAAGGCCUUAGGGUUGUAAAGCGCUUUUACCCGGGAUGAUAAUGACAGUACCGGGAGAAUAAGCUCCGGCUAACUCCGUG
rnacentral:rRNA from 1 species